GACAGAGGGUGCAAACGUUGUUCGGAAUUACUGGGCGUAAAGCGCGUGUAGGCGGCUAUGUAAGUCGGGCGUGAAAUCCCACGGCUCAACCGUGGAAGUGCACCCGAAACUGCGUAGCUAGAGUCCUGGAGAGGAAGGUGGAAUGCUUGGUGUAGAGGUGAAAUUCGUAGAUAUCAAGCGGAACACCGGUGGCGAAGGCGGCCUUCUGGACAGUGACGUGACGCUGAGACGCGAAAGCGUGGGGAGCAAACAGGG
rnacentral:rRNA from 1 species